AAGUUGCGUUAAAAUACACGUUACUUUUCCAUAGGCGAGAGGCAUUUCUUUCGAGCUAUAUACACCCGUUCGAGCGAGGCAUAGACCGCGCGAUAGUCAAUAGUAUAACGACAGGUGAUGUGUUAAGUACAUUAAAUUAGUAGUUAUGUCUCCUUGUACCGAUUAUGGAUAACGAUAUAAAUUCACAUCAAUAAGUUUCGCCGUAAGCUUUAAAUUGUCUUAUGAUGUACCGAACCCGAUAACCGAUCCGAUCGCUUGCACAAAUGAUAAUCGGAAAUUCGACUGAGAAUAUUAUUGUAUCGAUGCUCGUCUCAACAUUUCGAUUGAUAUAUUUAAAUAAGUUGAAUGUAAUUGCAGUGCAUAUUUUCUGCCAAACUUUUAAAAUUAUGUCGAAUUGUUCACCAUAUUUGUUCGGGAUCGAAGAUCUUUUGUGCAAGUUGAUUUGUAACUUUUACCAAUCAUGUUUUUAGAGGUAUUUGAAAUUGUGACUCGCCAACCAAGACUUCAUUUCCGACGCAUUUGGACCCAAAAGUUUUUUACUAUUUCUAGACUUUUCUAUUGUAUAAUUUUGAAAAGUUUUCAGACUGUCCACGGGAGGGAUUCGUGAGAGAUAUUUUUGGACGAAGUUGUUUGUACAAUGUGGAAACCAAAAAUGUUAAUUUAAACUUUAGUGGCAUUUAGUGGUGUAUGGAUACUAUAACGCACCGCUCCGAGGCCGCGAUUAUAUUUUGUGAUAUGUGGGUGCGGUUAUGUGUACAUACACGAUUAUAUAUUUUGUCAUGCAUAUAAUAUAUUUAUUUCCCAUUGUAUAUAAUGUAUAAUGAUAGCGAGUAAUGUGCGGUUCAUGUAAAGGGGCGGUCGCAAAGCUAUACACGGAUGACGGUUGCGUUUUUAUCGCCAGCGAUAAGUGAUAAAGAUAUGACCGUUAUAGGCCGUCUGAUUUCGGCCUAGCAUCGCCUCCCGAGUAGUUUUAAAUAGUGAUAACAACUAAUAUAUUAUGAAAUGUUUACGUCAAGGGUGUUUUUCCUUUUUUACCUGCGGGCCUUCGGCUCGCUAUAUAGUCGUAGCUCUUGUUUUUUUGUUAUGGGUUCAGUGACCUCUUGUGCAAAUUCUUUGUAUUAUAUUAUUAUCAGAGUCAGGUGGCUUUGGACCACGUAUGUUAAUAUAUUAUUAAUAUUGGUAAAAUAAAAAUUGUUACAUAUGA